GUGGGGAAUAUUGCGCAAUGGGCGAAAGCCUGACGCAGCCAUGCCGCGUGUGUGAAGAAGGCCUUCGGGUUGUAAAGCACUUUCAGUGGGGAGGAAAGAGCCCAGGCUAAUACCCUGGGUCGUUGACGCUACCCACAGAAGAAGCACCGGCUAAUUCCGUGCCAGCAGCCGCGGUAAUACGGAAGGUGCGAGCGUUAAUCGGAAUUACUGGGCGUAAAGCGCGCGUAGGCGGCUUGGUAAGUCGGAUGUGAAAGCCCCGGGCUCAACCUGGGAACGGCAUUCGAUACUGCUGAGCUGGAGUACGAGAGAGGGGGGUGGAAUUCCAGGUGUAGCGGUGAAAUGCGUAGAGAUCUGGAGGAACACCAGUGGCGAAGGCGGCCCCCUGGCUCGAUACUGACGCUGAGGUGCGAAAGCGUGGGGAGCAAACAGGAUUAGAUACCCUAGUAGUCC
rnacentral:rRNA from 1 species